UUUUAAUGCAGUAGUUUCCAAUCUUUUGGAAUAUGAAUGAUACUUUUCAACCUAAAAACAUUCAUGUACUCCCACAUGAUAGCAAGCUUCAGGUUUUAUCAUUUUAGGUCAUGCCUAGAGAAAGAGCUUCUCCUCCACACAGGAAAGUUGUAGGGAAUAUUCUUACUGCUUUGGGUCACUUGUCCUUCUGUCUGUCCAACAUCAGGCCCAGCCCUCUAUGCAGGAUCAGCUUCAUCUAAACCACACAGAUCGGGUCCCUCACAGAAAAGACCAGUUGUAUAUCCUGAAUAAAGGAGACAGGAUGAUGAGCUGGCCAAAAAAGGAAUGCAAACUUGACCUUGACUUUAAGGUCAAAGCAUUUUCAGACUGUGCAGUCAGCAGAGAAUAGAAAAAAAUCAAUAUGAAACAUAUUAGAAGAGAAAGAGGGUAAGAGUGAUGCAGAAGUGCCGGGAAGCCAUGCAAGACUUGGAGACAAUGGAGCUGCUGUGCUCCCAGCACCAGCUACCACAGGGCAGCCAUGGCGCCUGCCUGGAGAGAGGAGAAGAAAUAGUCAGAGGACAAGGAGAGCAAAGGCCAGGGAAAGACAGCACCACAAACUGCUUCGGGGGAGGUACAUGCGCUGGGAUGAGUUAAUCCCUGCAACCAUCUGUUGGAAAGGCAGUCAAGCCUUUCCUCCAACUUUAACAACAUGGUCUAUCCAUACUCAUGAACUCUUAGAACAGGUGGUUAGUGCAUUGUGGUUCAGUGAAUGAAUGACACACAGGGAUGCUUGAUUUGUGGAGCUGUAUGUCCAUUGGAGUUACAUGAGCUUUCUGACAUCAAAUCUCUCAGCCUCCGGGGUCCAGCUGUAUUAGAUGGCAUUAUGCCUGCUCUGUUUUCCUCACUGAGUUCUUCUAAGAAAUGGGAAAUAGUUUGUGAAACCAUAAAAGAGGAUGCCAGCCAAGGACAUACAGUAUUUAUCAUUUUAUUUCUAUUUUAUCUUAUAGAAGAAUUUAUAAACUGAAUAUCCUUAGGUUUCCCCAGCACACAGGUACAGGUGAUUUCACAUUUAGAGUUAAACUUGAAUUUUGUAGUGGUAAGAAUGUAUUUUGCUGGCCAUGAGCUCCACUCACUCAGACAGGCAUGUCAUUCCCCACAAAAACUACCCCAUGUAUUUCUGUGGGUCACAGUGGGUAACUUAUGUGCCCUCAUGGAUCCAGUCCAGGGCUCCCCUCACCAUAGAUUAUUGCUGCUCUCCCCACCAGCCUUUACCCACUGAAAAGUAGAUUCUCGAAGCUCCUGGACCAGAUCUUUGCCCAACAGCGUGGCCCCAAAGCCGUGGGGCUCCUGGCCCGCAAGAUGCUGUCUUCUGGGAAAUAAGGGAAUCGCUUCCUAGCUUCACAGUUACACCUGUUAAAGGGCACCUCUAGCUCUGGGGUGUGGUUGGAGCCCACAGGUCUCACACAGGAGUGAAGGGUAGGGUACCGGAGGGGCGGGUUUGGUUCCCUAUGCGUUUCUGUAUGUAUUUGAUCCCCAAAUGGGAUUAUGGUUUGAAAUGCUUUUGGGAGAUUCUUUAUCCACCAUAAAAACACCAAAUGAAUAGGAAAAGCCAAAUAGACAAGAGCUUCUUCCAAAGCUAAAUGGCAGGUAUA